AAAAUCCGUCGACUUUUAAAAUCGUGAGGGUUCAAGUCCCUCUAUCCCCAACGGUGGUUCAAGUCCCUCUAUCCCCA
rnacentral:tRNA from 1 species